rnacentral:rRNA from 1 species
UACAGAGGUCUCAAGCGUUGUUCGGAUUCAUUGGGCGUAAAGGGUGCGUAGGCGGCGCGGUAAGUCGGAUGUGAAAUCUUGGAGCUUAACUCCGAAACUGCAUUCGAUACUGCCGUGCUUGAGGACUGGAGAGGAGACUGGAAUUUACGGUGUAGCGGUGAAAUGCGUAGAUAUCGGAAGGAAGACCAGUGGCGAAGGCGGGUCGCUGGACAGUACCUGACGCUGAAGCACGGAGGCCAGGGGAGCAAACGGG